ACAAAGAUUGAUGCCUAUUGACAAACUGAUUCAAAUCUUUAACCAGAACUUGGAAACUAGGGAAGAGCGAAUAAAUAAGCUGGGUGAACUUGAAAAUACUAUUUCAAAGUUGAUCAACAACUUUCAUCUCAUCGAGUCACGUGUAUGUAACAGAUAUGCUUGUCAUGUGACGCUUGCUGAUAACACACCUG